CAGUGAAGUCGACUUGCCGCUGCCGCAUCGCAUCGCACCGCACACCGAAAUCGAAUCGGUAAUCGGAAAAAGCAAAAAGCAAAAGAAUCGGAUCGGAAUAGCCAGCGGUCAAGUUUUGUUUAUACAACCAACAACAACGACAUCGACGACAACAACAACUCCAACCACAACAACAAAAGUAAAACCACACCUUUUGCGAUGCGUUUGUUUUGCCGUCGCUAAAAGCCCGAGUUAUAAGUUGAUCAAUAUGAACAGCAGCAGCGAAAAAGAGGAAGAAACCGAAGACGUAUUCCAAUAAAAAUAAAAGAACAAAAAACCAAAACCCAACACUAAACAAAAAGAACUAAAGAGAAUAUCGAGAAUAUCGAGAACAACAAAGAAAUCUCGUGCACACGCACUUCGGGUUGCAUGUGUGCGUGUGUGCAUCUGUGUGUGUGUGUGUGAGAAAGAGCAACUAAAACAGCAUCUACAACUACAACCACAAAACUGCAGCAACGCACCAACGCACACCAACAUCAAUUCAGAUCUGCCGUGAAACUACUCUGCUCCCGCCAAGGCAAGA